UAAUAGAAUAGGACCUCGGUUUUAUUUUGUUGGUUUUCGGAGCUCGAGGUAAUGAUUAAUAGGAACAGACGGGGGCAUUCGUAUGCGGCGUCAGAGGUGAAAUUCUGGAUCGUCGCAAAGACGCACUACUGCGAAAGCAUUUGCCA
rnacentral:rRNA from 1 species